rnacentral:ncRNA from 1 species
GGAAAAGCGAUGAAGGGAACAAGUAGGAAAAUGACCUGCUCCGCACAGAAAGCUGCCGGUGGAUGAGAGGCGCGCGGACUUCUUUUUCUGAAUACAUCCCGGAGCUGCACACCGAAAGCGUGAACGGAGAUAACCGGAAAAUGUGAGUAGGCUGUGACGGAACUGGUACCCGUUAGAAAUGCCGGGGUCUUUUAUGAUGAGGACUCCAUGAGCCGGAGCGUGUGAGCGUUUCGGGAACAUCAGGUGGUAACACGAGCGUAUGCCUCGUCCUUUUG